rnacentral:rRNA from 1 species
AAGCGGUGGAGCAUGUGGUUUAAUUCGAUGCAACGCGAAGUAACCUUACCUGGUCUUGACAUCCACGGAAGUUUUCAGAGAUGAGAAUGUGCCUUCGGGAACCGUGAGACAGGUGCUGCAUGGCUGUCGUCAGCUCGUGUUGUGAAAUGUUGGGUUAAGUCCCGCAACGAGCGCAACCCUUAUCCUUUGUUGCCAGCGGUCCGGCCGGGAACUCAAAGGAGACUGCCAGUGAUAAACUGGAGGAAGGUGGGGAUGACGUCAAGUCAUCAUGGCCCUUACGACCAGGGCUACACACGUGCUACAAUGGCGCAUACAAAGAGAAGCGACCUCGCGAGAGCAAGCGGACCUCAUAAAGUGCGUCGUAGUCCGGAUUGGAGUCUGCAACUCGACUCCAUGAAGUCGGAAUCGCUAGUAAUCGUGGAUCAGAAUGCCACGGUGAAUACGUUCCCGGGUCUU